AAGACCAUUUCAUCUGGGUCUCAUCUACUGUGGUUGGUGCUUUCACUUCUCAUUAGCUCAGGAUUAGCCACAGAGAAUAAACCUCCUGCUGUAAAGCUUCAACCCUGCACAGGUUAAAGCUGGAGACUUGAACCAGAAAAGAAAGACAAGUCUGGACUUCAGUGCUGAACUGAAACUCGAUAGUUUUGUGCUGUUAACAGGAAAAGUUGAAGGCAAAACACACAGUUCAAUCCUGCUUUUCAUCAGUGCCACCAGGAGGAGCAGAGAAACAAUAUUCCAGGGACAUUUAGCUCUGAGUGGGGCCCUGUUGUGCUGAGCUCUGCACACACAAGGAAUGAGGCACUUUGGGAGACAUUCCUCAGACAAAUGGAGCC